rnacentral:lncRNA from 1 species
AAGUUACUUUGUUCUCUCUAAAAGCAAAUAAAGAAUCCCAAACCCUGAUGCCUCAUGGUUGAAGAAGAUAACCAAAAUGGCAGAAGUGGGCCCAGGAAGAGACAUGGCUGAGCUUCAGCAGUUGGGUAGCAUUGGAGAUGUGGACCCUGUUUUGCCAAAUCCAGGUACUCUCUCUAGAACCUUGGGAAGAUGUCAAAUGCAACUUGGUACUGUGCCAACAACUGAUGGCAGGGAAUUUAUCCCAGGAGCAUGCUGCACAGUGGGAGAAGCUGGCUCAGAAGUGCUGGAGGGUCCCAUUGUGUCACCAGGCUGGAGUGCAAUGGUGUGAUGGUGUGAUAACAGCUCACUGCAGCCUUGACUUCCUGGGCUCAAGUGAUCCUCCCACCUCAGCCUCUCAAGUAACUGGGAC